GGGGUUGUGGCUCAGUGGUAGAGCACUUAUCUAGCAUGCAUGAGGCACUGGGUUCAAUUCUCAGCACCACA
rnacentral:tRNA from 1 species